rnacentral:rRNA from 1 species
AGUGAACGCUGGCGGUAGGCCUAACACAUGCAAGUCGAACGGCAGCACAGUAAGAGCUUGCUCUUACGGGUGGCGAGUGGCGGACGGGUGAUGAAUACAUCGGAAUCUACUUUUUCGUGGGGGAUAACGUAGGGAAACUUACGCUAAUACCGCAUACGACCUACGGGUGAAAGCAGGGGAUCUUCGGACCUUGCGCUAUUGAAUGAGCCGAUGUCGGAUUAGCUAGUUGGCGGGGUAAAGGCCCACCAAGGCCACGAUCCGUAGCUGGUCUGAGAGGAUGAUCAGCCACACUGGAACUGAGACACGGUCCAGACUCCUACGGGAGGCAGCAGUGGGGAAUAUUGGACAAUGGGCGCAAGCCUGAUCCAGCCAUACCGCGUGGGUGAAGAAGGCCUUCGGGUUGUAAAGCCCUUUUGUUGGGAAAGAAAAGCAGCAGGUUAAUACCCCGCUGUUCUGACGGUACCCAAAGAAGAAGCACCGGCUAACUUCGUG